CAUAGUGAUCCGGUGGUUCUGAAUGGAAGGGCCAUCGCUCAACGGAUAAAAGGUACUCCGGGGAUAACAGGCUGAUACCGCCCAAGAGUUCAUAUCGACGGCGGUGUUUGGCACCUCGAUGUCGGCUCAUCACAUCCUGGGGCUGAAGUAGGUCCCAAGGGUAUGGCUGUUCGCCAUUUAAAGUGGUACGCGAGCUGGGUUUAGAACGUCGUGAGACAGUUCGGUCCCUAUCUGCCGUGGGCGCUGGAGAACUGAGGGGGGCUGCUCCUAGUACGAGAGGACCGGAGUGGACGCAUCACUGGUGUUCGGGUUGUCAUGCCAAUGGCACUGCCCGGUAGCUAAAUGCGGAAGAGAUAAGUGCUGAAAGCAUCUAAGCACGAAACUUGCCCCGAGAUGAGUUCUCCCUGAGACUUAGAGUCUCCUGAAGGAACGUUGAAG
rnacentral:rRNA from 1 species